CGUGCAGGAUUACUAGGACAGUGUCUGCCACAAAGGAAGCCCUGGAUUAUGGUAACUGCUAGUGCUGGUAAUGGUGGAGGUAUUCAGCAAAAAGAAAAUGUCAUGUGAGCGAACAGCUCCUGGACAAGCUAACACGUCUGCAGUUACUGUGGCCACCUCCUUCAGGGGACAGGGAAGAACCUCAGGAUAAGCCAGAGUGGAGGAUGGGGACCCCAGGCAAGACACCCUGCCCCCAAGUCUCCCUGGGGAACCAGAGGCGCUGAAGCAGGUCAUGGAUACCAGGCUGUCCUGUGGUGAACUGAGAUCCCAGCCCCCGGGGAUGGCCACAAGUCCCCAUCCGAGGGAUCCUGCUGAUACAAACAUCGCUCCUCAAUAUAGACCUCCUGGGACCUCCCCCCCACCCCCCUCCCAGGGACUCUUCCCAGCUUACAAGCCAAGGGCCCCAGUCUCUGUGCACUGGGCCAUGACGAGGGAGGGCCAGAGUCCAGGCUGGAGCUGCUGCCACGGCCUUGGCGAGUUAGGACCACUGUGGCCAAGUUCCACCCGGCUGAUGGUUACUCCUGCUUUCAGCCUGAUCUGGGUGUGGGGCUGAUCACAGGCCAGUCCAGCCACUACGGCAAAGGCCCACCACUGUCCCACCUUCCCCCAACCCCACCCAACAGCCAAAAGACCUCGGAGCCCUGAGACACUUGGGUGCAGAGAAAACAGCCUCCCAGCACCUUGGGUUCCCAGGCACAAUAGGGUCCAGAGCCCCAGGCCUGG